rnacentral:rRNA from 1 species
AGAAUCAACGCUGGCGGCGUGCCUAACACAUGCAAGUCGAACGAGAAAGUGGAGCAAUCCAUGAGUAAAGUGGCGACCGGGUGAGUAACACGUGACUAACCUACCUUCGAGUGGGGAAUAACCUCGGGAAACCGGGCUAAUACCGCAUAAUGUCUUCGGACCAAAGGAGCAAUUCGCUUGAAGAGGGGGUCGCGGCCGAUUAGCUAGUUGGUGAGGUAAUGGCCCACCAAGGCAAUGAUCGGUAGCCGGCCUGAGAGGGCGCACGGCCACACUGGAACUGAAACACGGUCCAGACUCCUACGGGAGGCAGCAGUGGGGAAUCUUGCACAAUGGGCGAAAGCCUGAUGCAGCGACGCCGCGUGAGGGAAGAAGGCUUUCGGGUUGUAAACCUCUUUCAGGAGGGACGAAGCUACUCGGGUUAAUAGCCCAGAGGGUGACGGUACCUCCAGAAGAAGCCCCGGCUAACUACGCGCCAGCAGCCGCGGUAA